AUAAUCGACGCUUGGUCACCCUUUAACCCAAUAAACAAAAGGGGCGAACAGUUAAUAAAGAUUGAACUUUUAAUUUUUGACACCGAGAAUUAAAAGAUUUUCAAUUUGUUAACCUAAAGAUUGAAUUAUCGAAAACAAAGACAGUGAAUGGAAGGCGUAUUUUUUGAUGUUCGUGAUUACCCUUUGAACGUAGGAGGGGGGCA
rnacentral:misc_RNA from 1 species